GCGAUACAUAAAUCUGCAUAUAGUAUAAGAGAGUAUUAAACGUCUGAUGUAUGUAUUUAUGUAGAUGGCAGACCAUUUGUAAGUUACAAUCUCGUAAAGGCAAUCGAGAGUAAAAGUCCAAAUCGUAGUGGUCCUAAUUCAGAAAAUGAAUUAAUUAAUUCACUAAUUAUAAGUAGAAGAACUGAAGAUAAAUUAAAUGAUCAAAAAAAUAAGUGGGGCGAAUCCGUACUGGGGGAAGAUGCAAUUCGUAGUAUGUUAUUUAAUACAUUUUUAAAAUCGCU